GAUGAAGAACGUAGCGAAAUGCGAUACGUAAUGUGAAUUGCAGAAUUCAGUGAAUCAUCGAAUCUUUGAACGCAUAUUGCGCUCUCUGGUAUUCCGGAGAGCAUGCUUGUUUGAGUAUCAGUAAACACCUCAACUUCCAUAUCUUUUUUGAAAUGGGAGUUGGACUUGAGUGAUCCCAACGCUUUUCCUCACCGAAAAGUGGCGGGUUACUUGAAAUGCAGGUGCAGCUGGACUUUUCUCUGAGCUAUAAGCAUAUCUAUUUAGUCUGCCUAAAAAACAGAUUAUUACCUUUGCUGCAGCUAACAUAAAGGAGAUUAGUUCUUGUGCUGACUGAUGCAGGAUUCACAAAGACAGGCUUCGGCCGACUUUGUAAACUCGAUCUCAAAUCAAGUAAGACUACCCGCUGAACUUAAGCAUAUCAAUAGGCGGAGGA
rnacentral:misc_RNA from 1 species